rnacentral:rRNA from 1 species
GACGAACGCUGGCGGCGUGCUUAACACAUGCAAGUCGAACGGAAAGGCCCUGCUUUUGUGGGGUGCUCGAGUGGCGAACGUGUGAGUAACACGUGAGUAACCUUCCCUUGACUUUGGGAUAACUUCAGGAAACUGGGGCUAAUACCUGAUAGGAGCUCCUGCUGCAUGGUGGGCGUUGGAAAGUUUCGGCGGUUGGGGAUGUACUCGCGGCUUAUCAGCUUGUUGGUGGGGUAGUGGCUUACCAAGGCUUUGACGGGUAGCCGGCCUGAGAGGGUGAACGGCCACAUUGGGACUGAGAUACGGCGCAGACUCCUACGGGAGGCAGCAGUGGGGAAUAUUGCACAAUGGGGGGAAGCGUGAUACAGCAACGCCGCGUGCGGGAUGACGGCCUUCGGGUUGUAAACCGCUUUAGCCUGUGACGAAGCGUGAGUGACGGUAAUGGGUAAAGAAGCACCGGCUAACUACGUG